rnacentral:rRNA from 1 species
UACGUAUGGAGCGAGCGUUGUCCGGAAUUAUUGGGCGUAAAGGGUGCGCAGGCGGCUUUACAAGUUGGAUGUGAAAUAUUGUGGCUCAACUACAAACGUGCAUCCAAAACUGCAAAGCUUGAGUUAAGGAGAGGUAAGUGGAAUUCCUGGUGUAGCGGUGGAAUGCGUAGAUAUCAGGAGGAAUACCGGUGGCGAAGGCGACUUACUGGACUUAAACUGACGCUCAGGCACGAAAGCGUGGGGAGCAAACAGG